GUACUGUGCAAACGUUAUUCGGAAUCACUGGGCGUUAAAGGGUGCGGUAGGCGGCGGGAUAAGUAGGGGUGUGAAAGUCCCGGGCCCAACCGGGGAAUUGCGCUCUAAACUGUUCCGCUUGAGUGAGAUAGGGGUGCGUGGAACUUCCAGUGGAGCGGUGAAAUGUGUUGAUAUUGGAAGGAACGCCGGUAGCGAAAGCGGCGCACUGGGUCUCAACUGACGCUGAGGCACGAAAGCCAGGGGAGGCGAACGGGAUUAGAUACCCCGGUAGUCCUGGCUGUAAACGAUGAGCACUAGUCGGGAGGGGUUUCGGCCCAUCCGGACGCAGCGAAAGCAUUAAGUGCUCCGCCUGGGGAGUAUGGUCGCAAAGGCUG
rnacentral:rRNA from 1 species